AGUCAUAUGGCUUGUCUCAAAGAUUAAGCCAUGCAUGUGUAAGUAUAAGCAACUAUACUGUGAAACUGCGAAUGGCUCAUUAAAUCAGUUAUUGUUUAUUUGAUGGUACUCUACUACUUGGAUAACUGUGGUAAUUCUAGAGCUAAUACAUGCUAAAAACCCCGACUAGCGAAGGGGUGUAUUUAUUAGAUUUUAAACCAACGCCUCUCCCGAGGCCGCCGGUGACUCAUGAUAACUUGACGCAGCGUAUGGCAGUUCUGCCGACGCGAGAUCAUUCAAAUAUCUGCCCUAUCAAGUUUCGAUGUGAGGGUAGUGUCCUCACAUGCUUUUGACGGGUAACGGGGAAUUAGGGUUCGACUCCGGAGAGGGAGCCUGAGAAACGGCUACCACAUCCAAGGAAGGCAGCAGGCGCGCAAAUUACCCAAUCCCGACACGGGGAGGUAGUGACAAGAAAUACCGAUAUAGGGUCCUUUCGGAUCUUGUGAUUGGAAUGAGUACAAUUUAAACCCAUUAACGAGGAACAACUGCAGGGCAAGUCUGGUGCCAGCAGCCGCGGUAAUUCCAGCUGCAGUAGCAUACAUUAAAAUUGUUGCAGUUAAAACGCCCGUAGUUGAAGUUUGGGCUUGAUUGACUGGUCCGCCUCACCGCGAGUACUGGUGUGAUUGGGUCUUUCUUUCUGGAGAACCACAUGCCCUUGAUUGGCUGUGUCGGGGAACCAGGACUUUUACUUUGAAAAAAUUAGAGUGUUCAAGCAGGCUUUUGCUCGGAUACCUUAGCAUGGAAUAAUGAAAUAUGACUAGUGGUUGUGUUUUGUUGGUUUUUACAACCGCUGUAAUGAUUGAUAGGGAUGGUUGGGGGCAUCGGUAUUCAAUCGUCAGAGGUGAAAUUCUUGGAUUGAUUGAAGACCAACUGCUGCGAAAGCAUUUGCCAUGGGAUGUUUUCAUUAAUCAAGGACGAAAGUUAGGUGAGCGAAAACGAUCAGAUACCGUUGUAGUCUUAACCGUAAACGAUGCCGACUAGGAAUCGGGCGGUGUCUUCUCAAUGACUCGCUCGGCACCUUGUGAGAAAUCAAAGUUUUUGGGUUCU
rnacentral:rRNA from 1 species